rnacentral:rRNA from 1 species
GCUGGGCAAGACCCGGUGCCAGCCGCCGCGGUAAUACCCGGCAGCUCGAGUGAUGGCCGAUCUUAUUGGGCCUAAAGCGUCCCGUAGCUGGCUUUUCAAGUCCGUCGGGAAAUCUCCCCGCUCAACGGGGAGGCGUCCGGCGGAAACUGAAGAGCUUGGGACCGGAAGGCGUGACGGGUACGUCCGGGGUAGGAGUGAAAUCCUGUAAUCCUGGACGGACCGCCGAUGGGGAAACCACGUCACGAGGACGGAUCCGACAGUGAGGGACGAAAGCUAGGGUCUCGAACCGGAUUAGAUACCCGGGUAGUCCUAGCCGUAAACGAUGCCUGUUAGGUGUGACUCCCACUACGAGUGGGUGUUGUGCCGUAGGGAAGCCGCUAAACAGGCCGCCUGGGAAGUACGUCCGCAAGGAUGAAACUUAAAGGAAUUGGCGGGGGAGCACUACAACCGGAGGAGCCUGCGGUUUAAUUGGACUCAACGCCGGACAUCUCACCAGCAUCGACUGUAGUAAUGACGAUCAGGUUGAUGACCUUAUCCGAGCUUCAGAGAGGAGGUGCAUGGCCGCCGUCAGCUCGUACCGUGAGGCGUCCUGUUAAGUCAGGCAACGAGCGAGACCCGCAUCCUUACUUGCCAGCAGCAUCGCGAGAUGGCUGGGGACAGUAGGGAGACCGCCGCUGCUAAAGCGGAGGAAGGAACGGGCAACGGUAGGUCAGUAUGCCCCGAAUGUGCUGGGCAACACGCGGGCUACAAUGGCCGAGACAGAGGGUUCCAACCCCGAGAGGGGACGGUAAUCUCAGGAACUCGGUCGUAGUUGCGGAUUGUGGACUGAAACUCGUCCACAUGAAGCUGGAUUCGGUAGUAAUCGCGGUCAGAGCG